rnacentral:rRNA from 1 species
AACAAACGCUGGAGGCAUGCUUAACACAUGCAAGUCGUACGAGAAAGUUUCCUUCGGGGAGCGAGUAAAGUGGCGCACGGGUGAGUAACACGUAAGAACCUGCCCUUGGGAUUGGGAUAACAUCGUGAAAGCGAUGCUAAUACCGAAUAAUGUUUAAGGACUAAAGGAGGCUUCGGCUUCUGCCUAAGGAGGGGCUUGCGUCCCAUUAGCUAGUUGGUGAGGUAAUGGCUCACCAAGGCCGCGAUGGGUAGCCGUCCUGAGAGGGUGUACGGCCACACUGGAACUGAGAUACGGUCCAGACACCUACGGGAGGCAG